rnacentral:lncRNA from 1 species
GGGAGACCGGCGAGAUCGGUUUCUUUUCUUAGGUUAGGGGUUGGAGGAAGGGUAAGGGACGCGAGCCUGCUUCCAUCUGACGCUGGACGCUUGUCCCUGCCCCGCGUUGCCUUUUAAAUUUUAGCUCAUUCCGAGACACCUGCCGUCAGACAUUUAUGCAGUGUGUGAUUCUUUCUAAAACAACUCCCUGGAAGAGAGGACAUUUAAUUCAACAAUUUAUUGGCCACCUACUGUGCACCAGGCAGUAAACUUGGAACUGGGGCUACUGGGUUACAGCAGUGACCAAGACAGAGGUCCCUGUUCUUAAGGAGCAAGUGAGGGCAACAGAAAAGAGCAGAAGUCAGCUGUCAUGCGAGGGCACUCAAGCAGCCCUGUGGAAAGCUCUACGUGGUGAGAAACUGAAGCCUCCUGCCAACACCAACAAGGAACUGAGACCUACUUCCAACAGCCAUCUGAGUGAUCCAUCCUGGAAUCAGAUCCUCCAGCCCCAGUCAAGUCUUCAGAUGACUGCAGCCCUGACCAGCAUCUCAACUGCAACCUCGUGAAUGACCCUGAGCCAGAACCAUGCAACUGAACUCUGCCUGGAUUCAUGACCCACAGAAACUGUGAGAUGGUAGCUGUUUGCUUUGUUAAGC